rnacentral:SRP_RNA from 1 species
CUGGGGGCAAGGCUGGGGGGCUAGGCCUCCCCUGCCCAUGCUAAUGCAUGGGUGGCAAACGGUCUUUAUGGCCAGCCUAUAGCCCGAGGGCGGUAUAUCUAGCUAUGCUGCCCCAACUAGCUGACUAUGAAACCUCGACCCACAGGGCCAAAUAGCUAGUGAACUGGGUCAGGCCCGGAAGGGAGCAGCCCUAAGCUAGCUAUUUUGGUGCUUGUGGAUCUCGGGGUGGAGAAAGCUAGUUGGAUAAAGCAGCAUAGCUAGAUAUAUCCACCAAGGGCGGCCCCCAA